UCUUAAUUUUAAAAAUCUGAGACUGGAAAUAUAACUCAGUGGUAGUAUGUUUAUCCAGCAUAUGCUUAGGUUCCAGUUCCAGUUCCUAUAGAUAAACAAUGGCCAACAAGAUGGC
rnacentral:miRNA from 1 species